UACGGAGGGUGAAAGCGUUAUCCGGAAUCACUGGGUUUAAAGGGUGCGUAGGCGGCUGGAUAAGUCAGGGGUGAAAGCCCGCAGCUUAACUGCGGAACUGCCUUUGAUACUGUCGAGCUUGAAAGAGGUUGAGGUCAGCUGAACGUGACAUGUAGCGGUGAAAUGCAUAGAUAUGUCACAGAACACCGAUUGCGAAGGCAGCUGGCUGGACCUACUUUGACGCUGAGGCACGAAAGCGUGGGGGGCGAACAGG
rnacentral:rRNA from 1 species